ensembl:lncRNA
AGAGAGUUUAAAAAAUGCUAGCUGUUUCCACAAAGAGGAUGACGCAUUAAUAUUUUUUGACUGGUCGACGCCCACACCAUUCGGCUGUUUAGGUACGCCCACACCAUUCCAAAACAGAAAAUAUGCUUUUUAACAUAAUUACAUUUUUUGGGAGAAGAAACAAUUCCAGUCAUUGUAAUUAAUUCUAGGUCAUAUUUCAUAGAAAUCUGGACACUGGCCAGUUACUUUAAAUGUGAUACAUCUUAUCAUAUUGUCCACAAACCAAUAAUACCUUGAAUACUUUCCCAGAGUUUUAUGUUGUCUUUUACUCGUCCGUAGCCUUCAAAUAUGAAGGCAAUAGUUCUGUAUAAAUUAAACACUGUUAACUUGUAGAUAAUUAUUACUAAUUUACUAGUAAAUUGAAGUGCUGGUUAUUUUAGCCAGAGUGCCCAUCCACGGCAUGUGUUUUAUAGUGGCAAGGAGGAACUGACGCUUGUUGGCAUCAGUGCUGCUAGCAUGGAGCACCAAUCACAUAGCUGUAAAUACAGGAUAAUAAUAACUAAAUAUGUUUGUUUUUAGAGAAUGCAUUACCAUAUGCACAUUUUUUUAAUGAAAUACAACCUUGAUAAUGAGAAGCUUCUAUAGAUUCUGUUAGCACUUUGAAAAGUUUGAAGCCGUGAGAGGUACAUUAAUAUCACGUACACACACACUAUUUCUGCUGAAACUCAACACAUUCUUCUAGUUUUAACACUGACCAGACUUAAGAAGGCUGCCCUUGGCAAUUGGAUACAUUUGAGAAUGGAGGGAAGUGUUUGUGUGAGGACCAAAACAACUUUUUCUUUCAAACCUACAUGCCCUGACCACAUUUUAGCUUGAGCAAAUCAUCAUGUAUUUAAUCAACGUUAUCUGGUCUUAGAGGCUAUUUUAAUAAGUAUUGGGCCCCAGGAUGCACCUUUGCAUCAGUUUUGUCAACGUGGCCCUGUCCGCUGAAGUUCUGUCUGCAUGUUAGGUUGCAUUUUGGGGAUUCUGCUGUCCUCUGUAGGAGACUACUGCAUUGUGGGGACUGCUCUCUGUUGGUGACUGAUGCAUUGUGGGGACUCUGCUCUCUUUAGGAAACUGCGGCAUUGUAGGGAAUCUGCUCUCCUCUCUAGCGGACGGUUGUAUUGUGGUGACACUGCUGUACUCUGUAGACCCCUGCAUUGUGGGGACUCAGCCAUUUUCUGCUGAGAAACACUCCAGUCCGGGAAAGGACCAAACCAGGCCACUGUGCUUCCGGGGCGGCGCUUGAGCAAGAGCAGAGCAGGCCUUCUAAUUGAGCGCUCUCACUCUCUUGUCCUCCCUAUUUCUCUCUCUCCCUUCCUGUCUCCAUCUUUCUCACUCACUCUUCGUACCCUUACUUUACGUUUACCAGCAUUGGGGAACAUCCCACGUAUGCGCCACAUCUAUUUCUAUGGGCACAAGCACUGUUCAUGACAAACUGUUCACACCUCUCUUGUUGGUGGAGAGAAUGCAGGUUUAAAGGUUAUUUCCUGCAAUUCUGCCCAAAAAAUAUAUAUAUUAUUAAAUUUUAAAAAGAAUUGUAAUUUAUUUAUUUAUUUAAAUUAUUUUUUUUGUCAUGGGGUGCAAAGAAAAUUGUUCAGUUUUAAUACAAAUGUUUUUGCAGUUCCAUACAUUUUGCCAUAUCUAAUGUGUAUUCAUGUGAUAUUGAGUGACAAAAAAAUUACAACAAUAUCUAUGAGCUAAAAAAAUGUUAGCUGACAUGGGCUAGUUGAUCUGGACAUUUAUAACAAGAUGUAAAUAGCUCUUUAAGGUAUGCAAUGACUAACAUGACAAGAGGACCUGAUGAUGCACUACCCAAUUUCACAAUUGCACCUUGAGCAUUCUACUAUUACAGCUCUCAAGAGUUUUUAAAGAUGGACUGUGUUCCUUUAAAAAAUUAUGCCGCCCCAGAGUUUGGGAACCACUGAUCUAGAUGAGCCGUUGCUGGCAUCAGGUGUCCAGUCUCUCCACCCAGCAGCUCAAGAGUCCAGGGAACGCAGGGUUAAUUAGGCUGCAGGGCCAUUUCCUAACAAGGCCAAUCAAGCCAUCAUGGCUUUAAAAAGGCUCUCUGGAUGUACUGCUCACAGUGACACGCCUAAAGGACAGACUCUCCAUCUGUUCACAUGGGUUACUUCCCAACUGGCACCCUAUUCCCUAUAUAGUGCACUACAUUCGACCAGAGCCCUAUUUUAUGUACUGCACUUGAUUUUAUGUAGGCCUACUUUUAAUGCAAGAUGUCCUUGACUAUCUUGAAAUGUGUACCCCAAGUAAAAUGUAUUAUUAUUAUUAUUGGACCAGAGCAGAAUCUGCGUGCCCUCACAAGUCCAUGCCACAAAUGUCCUCAUGAUGCAGGACCGCCGCAACCAAUCACCUCACAAUACAGGACAACCACUUUUGGGAACCUUAUAUGGUUGACAUUGACAUUUCAGAGACAUUUUGACAUGGUAUACCUUUGAAAUUUCCCUUAGUCUGUUGCAAGGUCGACGUCGUCGUGAGGUAUGAGGCGGAUAAUAAAGAGCUAGUAGUCUCAUACACUUUGACACUCAGGGCACCUUGACGUGUCGCUAAAGUGCAAUCCCCCGCCCCCUACCCUGACAUCCAAUCCAGAGCCUUCAAAUCAUGCAUAGGGUUGAAGGGUCUGCAUGCAAAACACAUAUCCUGUUAAUCAUCUUUAUUUUAAUUCUUAAUCCGGACAGAUUUGUUUUGUUAUAAUAUAUGAAGUCUUAUGUUCGGCCUUCUUGGAGGCUCCUCUCUUUGCUCAGGGUUUGAUGAAGAUGUUAACAUAUAACUGUAUAACUUAGAUUUGUUUUAAAAAUUGUGAAACGGAGUUACGAUGAAAACAAUGGAUUCUGAAAUAUGAAAAUACCUGGAAUGGCAUGUGGUUUUCUCCUGCUUGUGCCAUUGUUUUCUUCUUUGCUUUCUUCCAAAUGCAUUUUGACAUGGCUUGUGGUAUUGCAACCUGUAGGGUUGGUAGACCAAAGAUUGUCAGGCACUUUAGUCACACCCCCCCUCCCCCCCAGACUGCAUGGGGCAGUGUCUCCCCUUCCCACUAACACAACCCUUAUCCCAGGUCAGCACCCAUCCAUAUCCAGUCUAUGAAGGAGCUUCGGCACAGUGAAGCGUGAGUUGUGCAUUAUCAGUGUGAUCAGGAUUCAUGGCUGUGCAUAGGUGGAACAUUUAGCUGGGGUCUGGGGGCAGUGCCCCCUAGGCUUACUUUUCCAGUAGUUUUACUGCUUUGAUUUCACACAUAUCCACACAGGGCCGGUCCCUCUUAUCAAGGGACUCACAGGGGCCUGGUAGGUGUCGAGGGUAUGUCCCACUGACUGGCUGGCCACUGGAUUCAAGUUAAAACUGAAUUGGGUUACAUUUCUAUAACUGGGCUGAUAAAACAUGUUUUUUAUUUUAAAUAUGCAUUUUAUCCGUUGCAUGCAUUUCCUCUGUCCUCUUUGUACAAUACUACUGUACACGUCUUCUUUUCAAAAAUCCCCCAUACUUUAUUUUUUACCCCGUUUUCCUCCCCAAUUUCGUGAUCUCCAAUUACGAUCUUGUUUCAUCGCUGCAACUCUCCAACGGGCUCGAGAGAGAGAGAGGCAAAGGUCGAGUCAUGCAUCCUCUGAAACAUGACCCCAAACCGCUCUUUUUAACAUGCGCCUGCUUAACCCGGAAGCCAGCUGCACCAAUGUGUCGUAGGAAACAGUUCAACUGACGACCAAAGUCAGCCUGUAGGCGCCCGGCCCGCCACAAGGAGUCCCUAGAGCGCGAUGAGCCAAGUAAAGCCCCCCGUGGCUAAACCCUCCCCUAACUCGGACGACGCUGGGCUAAUAGGGCAUCGCACAAUGGGACUCCCAGUUACGGACGGUUGUGACACAGCCUGGGAUCAAAUCCGAGUCUGUAGUGACGCCUCAAGCACUGCGAUGCAGUGCCUUAGACCGCUCCGCCACUCGGGAGGCCUUAUAUUUUUUUAAGACAAAGGGUGUUUGUCAACUCCUUUGGGGGGUCUUCCAAUGUGCUUCUCUCUUCCAUCAUCACGGUUUGGUUAAAGUUUUUAUAUAUUCAAGUUCCGAAUUUGUUUGCUGUGCUUUGUUUUUUUGUGGAUUUAGACUCUCUAUGACAGUACACGGUGUACUGUUAACGUUUUCUGUCCCGAAUCGGACUUCCAUCCUCACAAUAGUGUCUGUCACCUCAUGUCACCUUUUGGCUGUGUAAUUUACUAAAUGCAGCUUAUUCACUACCUUCAACACUCCCUGCCUCCUGUUAUUUCUGAUAACAUUAUCAGAUUUUUUCAUAUAUAUUUAUAUAUCUGAUUUUGAUAUAUACAUAUAUAUAUUACGUUUUUGUUUUGUUUGUAGUGUGCCCUUUUUGAGGAAUUUCUUAUCUGAGAAACGAAUGGGCUCUUUAACUAACCUAAACAUUGAUUGAGAGGAAUUAUUUUGUUGCAACUUGUAAAAGACACCCCAUAAAGACAAAUAAAACUGAUUUGAUGAAUCCUUUU